GGCCAGGCGGUUGCCCUGACAACGGGGAACCGACCGACUCUUCCCGGUAGGGAGAGGCGAUGGCGGAAUUACUCCUCUAAUGUCAAGGUAUUCUAAUCACAGAAUUACUGGAGCAUCAAGAAGUGCCUGCAUGCUUGGAAGGGCUUCCAGGCAGAUGAACACACCUCAGCACCGGGUGGCAUUUUCCCAGGGUGCAACCCGGACCGGCUCUGGGUCACACUGACAAGUGCACCCCUCCUGAGCUGAAGUGUUCCUGUUCUCUCUGCAGCCUCUCCGACUCCCCAGGCUGGGUUGGGUGCUCCUCCCUCUCAUCCCACAGCGCUAUGUCUCAUGUCUUCUGGAAAACUUGCCAAUCCCUAGUGACAACAGGGUUAACAAUUUCCAGAGACAGCCCGUACAUAGAAGGAAUGUUUACUGAAAAAAAUGAAGAGGGGUCAGGGCAAGGCGAGGAGCAAGAAGCACCCCCAAGGAAACAGAGAAGACCAGUACAACUGUACCUCUUUGCCAGCUGCACCAUCCGUACCAGUCUCCUGGGGUGGAAGUGUCCAGCACAGAGACUGCCACACUGCAAGACGAAGGGGCUGGACACACGGAAGAGAGAGGCGGAACCCUGCACCCCCUCAACCUCAGCCCUACUGAGUCUCCAAUGGGGCCACGCUUCUGAGUGCACCUCCCCGUGUCAUCUGUAAUGUG
rnacentral:lncRNA from 1 species